rnacentral:lncRNA from 1 species
UCGGUAGAGCUACAUUUUGUUGUAGUGUUUGGGGUGCCCAAGGAUCUAUCUAGAUUGUAUCCAACACCUAGAGGGGGUUGAAUAGGUGUAACGACCAAAAACCACAAAUCUCAAUGAGAUCAAAAUAGAUGCAGAAAAUAAAAAUCACACCGAGAUUUACGUGGGAAAACUUUGACUUGGAGAAAAACCCACGGGACCAACACGCGAAAAAAUAAUUCACUAAUUCACUAAGAGAAAAGAUUACAAGGUGAUUACCGACUCCACGGACUCAACCUCUCUUAACUUCCUAUGAAUCUCGCGCAACCCUCCAGGUUGUCCAUGCCCUCACGUUCGAAUCCACGAACGCCACGUUCCAAAUCCACGAAACGCCUCCACUCCGAAUACACGAAGCUCACGAUCCGAAUCCACGAAUCGCCGUCAAUCACGCCGAAUCCACGACGCCGUCAUAAAGAACAUCAUGUGUAUAGUGAUCCUUCGCUUAGAGUAUCGAUGAAAACAAGGGAAGAGAACUCCAAGCGAAGCGAAGAUCAAAUCGACAUAUAGAUAUGAAAUUCCAAUAUCUCGAUUUGAUCUAAAAGAGGCUAAUAUAUAGAAAAUAGGUUUUAGAUGAAAUCUGAGCCUCUAUGGUUUCUCUAACAUGUAUUCUCAUGAUACUUGAUGAGUUAGAGAACCCCAAUAGCUUAUUUAUAGACUUUGGAAUCAAUUGGAGUCGGAUUAGAAAGUUUUCACAAUUUUACACAGUGUACCGGUACACG